rnacentral:ncRNA from 2 species
AUCUUGCCAUCGGAUCAAGGUGCCGGGGGAAGCCCCGGAUAAAAGGGAAUCCGGUCAGGCUGUCGCCGAAUCCGGAACUGCCCCCGCAACUGUAGGCGGCGAGCCUGUCUGACAUGCCACUGGCGCGGAGUUCGCGUCGGGAAGGCCAGACUAGGUGACGACCCGCAAGUCAGGAAACCUGCCUCGAUCACUCACCUGUU